rnacentral:rRNA from 1 species
GACAGAGGGUGCAAACGUUGUUCGGAAUUACUGGGCGUAAAGCGCGUGUAGGCUGCUCGGAAAGUCGGAUGUGAAAGCCCUGGGCUCAACCUAGGAAGUGCAUUCGAAACUUCCGAGCUGGAGUGCUGGAGAGGAAGGCGGAAUUCUCGGUGUAGAGGUGAAAUUCGUAGAUAUCGAGAGGAACACCGGUGGCGAAGGCGGCCUUCUGGACAGUGACUGACGCUGAGGCACGAAAGCGUGGGGAGCAAACAGG